rnacentral:rRNA from 1 species
AUUGAACGCUGGCGGCAGGCCUAACACAUGCAAGUCGAGCGGAUGAGGGGAGCUUGCUCUCUGAUUCAGCGGCGGACGGGUGAGUAAUGCCUAGGAAUCUGCCUGGUAGUGGGGGACAACGUUUCGAAAGGAACGCUAAUACCGCAUACGUCCUACGGGAGAAAGUGGGGGAUCUUCGGACCUCACGCUAUCAGAUGAGCCUAGGUACGAUUAGCUAGUUGGUGAGGUAAAGGCUCACCAAGGCGACGAUCGUUAACUGGUCUGAGAGGAUGAUCAGUCACACUGUAACUGAGACACGGUCCAGACUCCUACGGGAGGCAGCAGUGGGGAAUAUUGGACAAUGGGAGAAAGCCUGAUCCAGCCAUGCCGCGUGUGUGAAGAAGGUCUUCGGAUUGUAAAGCACUUUAAGUUGGGAGGAAGGGCAGUAAGUUAAUACCUUGCUGUUUUGACGUUACCAACAGAAUAAGCACCGGCUAACUUCGUGCCAGCCGCCGCCGUAACAC